GAUACCUGUCCCAGCUGAAGGACGCCCACAGGUCCCAUCCCUUCAUCAAGGAGUACCAGGCCAAGGCUGGUGCUACAGUACGCUCCCAGCGCCUGAGGCUGGCUCAGAGCUGUCAGGACCACGAAGCCAGGACAGAGGCCAGGAGCCCUGCAGCCCUUCCCACCUGGCAUCCACCCCUCUGGGGGCAGGAGCCCACCCUCAGCACCCCCAUCUGUUAAUAAAUAUCUCAACUCCAGGGUGUUCCACCUGA
rnacentral:sRNA from 1 species